AGAGAGCGGCGGACGGGUGAGUAACGCGUGGGUAACCUGCCCUGUACACACGGAUAACAUACCGAAAGGUAUGCUAAUACGGGAUAAUAUAUAAUAGUCGCAUGUACUUUUAUAUCAAAGUAUUUUUCGGUACAGGAUGGACCCGCGUCUGAUUAGCUUGUUGGCGGGGUAACGGCCCACCAAGGCGACGAUCAGUAGCCGACCUGAGAGGGUGAUCGGCCACAUUGGAACUGAGACACGGUACCAAACUCCGUACGGGAGGCA
rnacentral:rRNA from 1 species